rnacentral:tRNA from 1 species
AGUAAAGUCAGCUAAUUAAGCUAUCGGGCCCAUACCCCGAAAAUGCCCACUAAGGCCUCUACUA